UCUCUCUGUCUAAACACUUUCCUUUUAUAUUCGUAGUCUUUCUCCUCUCUCUUUCUAGAAAUAGAAACCAUGGGAAUCGCAGAAGAAAGCAGCAAGCCAAUGUGGGGGAGCAUCAGCCAUGCGUCUCCAGGCCACGCUCUUAGUGGCAAAAUCAUGAUAUCCUCAGUGAUCAUCCUCUCCGUCGCCCUUAUUAUGAUCAUCUGCUUCCACAGCUACGCCAGAUGGCUAUUCCGCCGUCAGAACCGUCGCAUUCGCCGCCGGAUUCGUGCUCACCUCCGUGCUCUCUCCGCCUCAACCAUCUCCUCCUCCUCACUCUCCCCUCUCGAUCCAGCGAUCCUCGAGAAGAUUCCGAUCUUCGUUUACUCCUCGGAGACUCAUCAUUUUAAAACUAUAACUUUGAAAAUAUAAUUUACAUAUUUAUUAUAAUAUUAUGAUUUUUGAUAUUUUUAUAAUUAUAUAAAAUAUAAAUAUUGUUAAUUUAUUAUUUAACCGCUGCUGUAUUUGGUAGUUAACCAGUCAUAAGUAUCCCGCAAACGCACCAAUUUCUAACCGCAGAACCAGUCGUACAAAUCUCUUAAAACCGCUAGAAACCUCAACCACCCGCAUCCGCAAACGCCCGCAGCCGCAACCGCAACCGCUGCGUUUGAACCAGUCAGACCCUAAGUCUUUGAUUAUGAUUUAUGAAGAAAGUGGCAGACACUUUUCUAUAUUGACCCAAAAGGAAAUUAGUUUCCAAAUACUUACAAUAAUUAUGACACAUCAAUUUCCAGCUGUGAUUACUAGCUAGUAAUUAUUAUGUUGACUGUGUAAUACACUAUACCAUCCAUUGAUAUUUUCCAGACGUUGGUUGAUUAAUGUGUUACAUGAUACAAUCCCAUAAGGGAUAGUUGGUCAAACACCAAAAAAAACACACACAAUUAUUUGAAUAUCAAAAGUAUAUAACAACAUAAAAUUAUAUUUUUUAGCAAAAAAAAGAAAACAAUUUGAAAGUUAAUUUGGUUUUUAUUUUUUUGUUGCGGUAGCCUAUAUAAAUAAGGGGAUCUAAAACCCAUACAACAUAUAAUAAGCAGCUAUACUCUCUCUGCCUAAACACUUUCCUUUUAUAUUCGUAGUCUUUCUCCUCUCUCUUAGAAACCAUGGGAAUCGCAGAAGAAAGCAGCAAGCCAAUGUGGGGGAGCAUCAGCCAUGCGUCUCCAGGCCACGCUCUUAGUGGCAAAAUCAUGAUAUCCUCCGUGAUCAUCCUCUCCGUCGCCCUUAUUAUGAUCAUCUGCUUCCACAGCUACGCCAGAUGGCUAUUCCGUCGUCAGAACCGUCGCAUUCGCCGCCGGAUUCGUGCUCACCUCCGUGCUCUCUCCGCCUCAACCAUCUCCUCCUCCUCCUCACUCUCCCCUCUCGAUCUAGCGAUCCUCGAGAAGAUUCCGAUCUUCGUUUACUCCUCGGAGACUCAUCAUCAAACGCC
rnacentral:lncRNA from 1 species